ensembl:lncRNA
CAGCCCAGAACUUGCUGAUGUCUUCAGGCAAUUCGUGAUGCCUGCUGGAGUGUGGCUUGUAAUCAUUUCCAAACCUGAAUCGUACUGUGGACUGGUCUUCUGCCUCACAAAACUUGGUCAAGCUUCAUCUGACUGUCAUUUUCUUUAUGAAGAAUGCUCAAUGGGUCUCUCCUGGGAGAUGUUGUCAGGGUGACCAAGUGGGCAAUCUUCAUUAAUUAUUGAAGUCUAUAAGUCAAGGGACCUUCCUUUUUAUUUUUCCUCCUUUUGUUCUGGAAAGUCCUGCUGAGAAAGAUGGGUCAAUAGAGAAAGUAGUAACUGUUCAACAGUGACAUCAAAGUCACUUGCACAGAGCUGGACUUUUGCCAUUUUCUGGAGGUGGCAUCAGCUGUUUUCCUCUGUCAGCUUGCCCUGCAGAUGGAUACCCAAGACUGAGAACACCAUGCUGGUACUUUUCUGGCCAAGUCGUUUCAUUCCAGGCCCAAUUCCCAUUCCUGAGACCAAGGAGAGCUUUGUGAAGGUCUGAUCCAUCCAUGACAAGGCAGACUGCAAUGGGCACCAAAUCCUUUAGGGAUGGACCAGUAACUUGUCUUCCUAAGAGGAAAAAAAUGGUGGCCAGUCUAAGCAGAAGUCAGCAGUAGGACUUUCUACUUAACUCAGCAGCAAUGAGCUGUUUAUUUACUGGGUCAUGAGCUGAGCUGGGUGGAAAAUGGUCAGAAGAGAUGAAUGCCCAAUGGGAUCAAGGAGUUUGCUCUUAAAAUGGUCCCAGACGAUGCGUACAUCAUGACUGCAGUUUUGUGGCUUUGGUGAGAGGCCCAAGUCCUUGUUACCACUCCUCAAAUGAAGUGACUGUUUUCUGGGUUGACACGUGCACUUGCCAAUAGGUGGCACCAAUGGCACAGAAAUAUGAAACUCUAUGCAAAUUUUUCUGGAGAAGAGGGUGCUGGGAAUUUUCUACUGCAUAGCUACAGACUUUUCUACGGACAGAAAAACUCAGGACGGAUGCUGCACGUUCCACGUGCGUCUCCUGCAGGGAUUUAGAGAAGUCUCCAUGAAGCCGAUCACAUCCCAGUUGUUGGAAAUACACCUUCUGCUUAUGUACACCGAAGCAAGGAACCCAUCUGUCUCUCAGCAUCUUUUUUUUUUUUUUUUUUUUUUUUUUUUGUCAUGCUGCUGCCCCCAAAGCACCAGCUGCUGUACCAGUGAGGAGUCACAAGGAAUUAAAACUCAGGAGCAUCUUGUGGUGUUGGUACAUUAUCGGUUUUGGUGGUUAUUUUUGGCUGUUAGUUCCUGCUGUCCUAGGCUCUAUACAAAUGCGUCUUGGCAGGCUCUCCCCUUCCUAAAGAGCUUACAGCCUGGACAAGAACUGGAGGCAUUAAUAGCUUUUGUUUGACUGCUGACAUAUGUUCUGCAUGCUGGCCAAAGUCAGCUGCAUCUCCGUCAUCCUCACCCCGUGCCUCAUCUGGAGGCAGCUGCAAUACCCCAAUGCGCGAUCCCUUCUCUGAAGUGGAUGUGCAAAUGACCACCUUGGUAAUUAUUAAAACACUACCUUCCUCCCUACAAAGUGCUGAGGCUGGUGGGGAAAGCAGGACCAGGACCUCCAUAUGGUGUAUCCCCCACCAGGGUAGUUUUCUGCCAUAUUUUUUUCCCCUGCCAUGUCCUGCAGCAGUGAGUUCCACCAGUGAAGAGCUGACAGGGCAAAAAAUAUUCUCAUUUUCCAGAGGCAAAGAACUGAGGUCUCUCUCUCAUUUCCCUGACAUUUUUUAUCCUCAAUACCUUUGGCACAGCCUUCCCUCUCUCCAAGGUAAGCCUCCCCAAUCCCUCCAUUCUCACUUCUGAUUACUGCCGUGAAUAACAUCUAAUAUUCUUAUCACCCGGCUCCAACCCCCCUAAUGCUGUUGUAGGCUUUUCAAGAGGAAAACCACUACUGCAAACAUUACUGCAGACGAAACUGCAUCUCUGAUGUAUAUAAAGGCAUUAGCCCAUCCUCCCGCCUGGGCUGCCGUGCAUCUUCUGUGCCAUUGCACUGCUGCUGCACAGGGAGCAGAGGUCUCUGCUGAGCUGUCUGCAGUCUCAUUGGAGUUUCUUGCUUCCCCUAAUUUAAAUUAAAACCUGGGAGCGGACAAUUUCAGUGUCUGCUUCGGGUGCAAUGGGAGCUGUUGGAGACCUGGCUCACUGCAGGUGCCUGAAGAAUGCAAGAGGAGGCUGGGCUGGAGCAAAGCCCAGGCUGCACCUCCACCCCAGCUCUAGUACCCGUAUGGCACAUCACGAAGCACUGGCCAUGCCACAUGGACUGCAGUGCACCGACCUUCACAGCUCCUCUGAGAAGAUAAAGCCACCUCAAGGGUCCUCAAGAGGAAAGACAAGCCAGGUCAAUAGCAACUUCAUGGUGGAACCAGCAGAAGAGAUGGGCUGAUGUUCCCACAUGGGGGGAUGUGGGGGAUGAGGAGGCUCAGUUCCCACCUGGUACUUUUCCAAGCCCAACACCCAGAAGCAUACGGUGCAAACACUCCAGCAGCCAGAACAUAGGACUCAACUGGAUGGAGCCUUUGGACCAGUGUACUGCUCUAGACUUAGGGAUAUCAUGUGCCAAAAUGAAACGAGCUGAGUUUUUGGGUGGCAUCAUCGUUAUGGAUGGCCCUGGCCUAUGACCAGUCCUUUGAUAAGGCAUCUGGUGUUGGGCUGUUGUCCUGCUGCUGAACACCCUUCCCAGGGCUGCACUGGUACCUCUGCAAGACCAAGGUGCAAGGCAAGUAAAGAACAAAUAAAGCCACAUUAAUCCCAGCUCCA